AAACAUACCUGGCAAGGGAGAUACCAUGAUUGCAAAGAUGGUUUUCCCAGGGCGAGGCUUACCCAGUGCACUCUGGAUGUGCUGACCCCUGAGAUUUCCCCAAAGGUGGGAAACUCGACUGAAUAAUUUGUGGUGGGGGCGGGGGACUGCAUUCAUGCUUUCUCCUG